CCCGAGCCUGGCCGGGCUCGCCCGCUGGCCGGCGCCUCCCGUGGGACGACUGCACCCGUGCGGCCCCGGAGCGUCGGGAACGCAGGAAACUGCCCCGGCGGGUUUAAAAACCGGUGCCGGGCUGAGGUUUCCGGGAGCGGAGCUCCGCUGGUGUGUCCAGAGAAGGGCAAGAGAGCUGGUGUAGGUGUAGAGUCUGGAGCACAAGUCCUAUGAGCAGCGGCUGAGGGAGCUGGGGAUGCUCAGCCUGGAGGAGAGGAAGCUCAGAGGUGGCUUUAUCACCCUCUAGAACUCCCUGAAAAAAAGGCUGCAGCCAUGUGGUCCCAUGUAAUCAGCGUCAGGACAAGAGGACAUAGUCUUUAGCUGGGCCAGGGAGGUUCAGGUUGGAAAUUAGAAGGAAUUUCUUCACAGAAAGGGUGAUUAGACAUUGGGAUGGGCUUCCCAGAGAGGUGGUGUUACCACUCCUGAAGGUGCUCAGGAAAAUGUGUCACUCGGUGCCAUGUUGUAGAUGACAAUCUUGUGUUUACUCGAAAGUUGAACUCGAUGUCCUCAAAGGUAAUUUCCAACUUAAUUGAUAAUAAGAUUCUGUGACUCCUGGGAUCCCUACACCAUGCCCCCUACUCACACUUAUUGUGAAAAUCACUGCUGGAUGCAGCAGAGGCCAAGGUCCACCCAGCUCCAAAGGUCAGGGAAGGCACCUUGGCCCCUGCACCACUCAGCUUUCUCUGUAUCAGGAGUAAUUUUCUCCUUCACACCAACUUCCAUGGACUAAGUAAAUAAAUAGAAAAGCUUUCCUGCAGCUGUGCAGAUGCUCUUAGCUUCACUUGUGCCCCCAUGGAGGGAAAGGCCCUACCCCAUGCAGGUGAAUAGAUUUAGUCCUGGAGCACAGCAGGUGCUUGACUUAGAGCAGGAGUGAUGAGGGGCUGGUGUGACAAAGGACAUGUCACAGCCUCACUGUGCUUAUUAUCUGACACAGCUUCACCAAGACACAACAGUUCACGGGGGUACGGAGAGGUCUGAUUGAAGUCAAACACAGGGUCUAAAUCUGUUCAUAUGGAAAAAGGAAUUCCAGCUAAAUUAUACAGAGAAUGUCUUGUGUACAGCCCCUGGUCAAGGACUGCCUUUUCUCUUGUGAUCCACUCUUGAGCUUCACCUGUACCAAAGAAAGGUGCUGGUGAUACAAUUGAUCCCACUGAAGGAGUAAGAAAUUUUGCCAUUGACUGAUAUCAGCAUGACCUGACUUCUUACACUUGUUGAUUCUGGAGGCCUGAAGGCAGAGGAACAAUCAGCAUCAUCAUACAUGGCGGGAAAAUUCACCUCAAAAGUAGCAUUUCAGUAUGUGGAUGAAAAUCAAUCAUGCUGCAAACUGGGAGAUCAUUUUCUGAGAACACUGUAGUGAGCUGUAUAUAUUGAGGGCUAAAGCAAUGCUCAGAAGGGCUUAGAAAUGUUCUGUUGAAAAAAAAUGAGCAUGAAAAUGGCACCAGCAGAAAAUUGGUGUUGGUCUAAUGAUCUGUGUGUAUUUAGUCCAUCCAGGGCCUAGUGAACUAGGUUCAGAAUGGUGACUGCACAGAGGAAAACUGGGGAACAUCCAAAAUUAGUAUUUAAGAGAUACAUAGCCUAGGCAGAAUACUAAUAGCUGCAAAAUGAACAUUUAACAUAUGGAUAAAGUAAUGACUGGUUAGAGAGCUCCCAUCAGAGAUAUAAUAGGAAAUGUAAAUUAAUAUGAGAGUGAAUACUAUGCUAUAGAAGUGAAUAAAUGUACCAAAGGAGAGCUAGAGCCUCAAUCCAAACUGCUGGAUCAUCCAACCGAACCAGCAUUAAGGCCCCUACGUGCAACAUUUCCACUGCCAUCAACCAUCCUGACCAAAAUAAAGGCAGUGGCACAGCAGAUCCUGCUCUGAGCCCACCACAGAGCCAAGCUGAGCAGAUCCAGGGCCCUGCAGGAGGCAGACUGGGGCCACUGGAUGAGCAGGGGCUCCAUGGGGGCCCAGCUGUGGUGUGGCACGCCAGGACAGAGUUGGUUUGAGAUACAGAUUUUAAAGAAAGGAUCCAAAUAUCAGUUGCUGGAGAAACAGAGAGGAUGGGAAUGGAAGCUGGCUGUUGUUCCAAGUCUCGAUAGUCUUGAAAACAUUUGAAAAAUUCUGUGUCAAAGAGGAAAGGGCAAACUGGUGUCACCUUCACAACCUCAGCGUGAUGCAGGGUCAGGGCCCAUGUUUCUGGACAUUCAACCGUGGGCAACAAAACUGGGCAGUUUUGUGAGAAAAGGCAUGAAGUUCAAUAAGAAGAAAAUAUGUAUGAAAAUGGCAAUAAACAGCUCUUUGCAUUGUU